rnacentral:rRNA from 1 species
AUUGAACGCUGGCGGCAUGCCUUACACAUGCAAGUCGAACGGUAACGGGCCUUCGGGUGCCGACGAGUGGCGAACGGGUGAGUAAUACAUCGGAACGUGCCCGAUCGUGGGGGAUAACAAGGCGAAAGCUUUGCUAAUACCGCAUACGAUCUACGGAUGAAAGCAGGGGACCGCAAGGCCUUGCGCGGACGGAGCGGCCGAUGGCAGAUUAGGUAGUUGGUGGGAUAAAAGCUUACCAAGCCGACGAUCUGUAGCUGGUCUGAGAGGAUGAUCAGCCACACUGGGACUGAGACACGGCCCAGACUCCUACGGGAGGCAGCAGUGGGGAAUUUUGGACAAUGGGCGCAAGCCUGAUCCAGCCAUGCCGCGUGCAGGAUGAAGGCCUUCGGGUUGUAAACUGCUUUUGUACGGAACGAAAAGCCUUCUUUUAAUACAGGAGGGUCAUGACGGUACCGUAAGAAUAAGCACCGGCUAACUACGUG